UACGAAGGGGGCUAGCGUUGCUCGGAAUCACUGGGCGUAAAGGGUGCGUAGGCGGGCCUUUAAGUCAGGGGUGAAAUCCUGGAGCUCAACUCCAGAACUGCCUUUGAUACUGAAGAUCUUGAGUCCGGGAGAGGGGAGUGGAACUGCGAGUGUAGAGGUGAAAUUCGUAGAUAUUCGCAAGAACACCAGUGGCGAAGGCGGCUCACUGGCCCGGUACUGACGCUGAGGCACGAAAGCGUGGGGAGCAAACAGG
rnacentral:rRNA from 1 species